AAAUGAAUAGACGGGGGCCCGCACAAGCGGUGGAGUAUGUGGUUUAAUUCGACGCAACGCGAAGAACCUUACCCAGACUUGACAUGUAGAGAACCUGGUGGAAACACUGGGGUGCCUAGUUUACUAGGAGCUCUAACACAGGUGCUGCAUGGCUGUCGUCAGCUCGUGUCGUGAGAUGUUGGGUUAAGUCCCGCAACGAGCGCAACCCUUGCCGAUAGUUGCCAUCAUUAAGUUGGGCACUCUAUAGGGACUGCCGGUGUUAAACCGGAGGAAGGUGGGGAUGACGUCAAGUCCUCAUGGCCCUUAUGUCUGGGGCUACACACGUACUACAAUGGCUGGUACAAAGGGCUGCAAGCCGGCGACGGUUAGCCAAUCCCAAAAAGCCAGCCCCAGUUCAGAUUGGAGUCUGCAACUCGACUCCAUGAAGGCGGAAUCGCUAGUAAUCGCUAAUCAGCAGGUAGCGGUGAAUACGUUCCCGGGCCUUGUACACACCGCCCGU
rnacentral:rRNA from 1 species